AUUGAACGCUGGCGGCAGGCCUAAUACAUGCAAGUCGAACGAGUGGCGGAGGGGCGAGCAAUGGAUGGGAAACUGCCUGACGGAGGCAGAUAACGACUGGAAACGGUAGCUAAUACCGCAUACCAUCAGAUGUGCCGAGAUGGGAGUAGCGAGCUGGUGGGGUAACGGCUCACGAAGGCGUCGAUCCCUAGCUGGUCUGAGAGGAUGACCAGCCACACUGGAACUGAGACACGGUCCAGACUCCUACGGGAGGCAGCAGUGGGGAAUAUUGCGCAAUGGGCGCAAGUCUGAUGGAGCAACGCCGCGUGUAUGAAGAAGGCCUUCGGGUUGUAAAGCACUUUCAGCAGGGAGGCGUUAGCCGCACAGGAAGCACCGGCUAACUACGUGCCAGCAGCCGCGGUAAUUC
rnacentral:rRNA from 1 species